CCUGUCCUGAACACUGCUCUCCCCUCCCUUCCCUCUGUGCCCUGGGAGGAGACUAGUCCCAUCCCUGGUGACGUCACAGGACCGCCCCUUCCCAAUCACCAUUUCUGUAAGUCUCUUUUGUCUGGAGAUGAGGAUGUGCUGGGACCAGAGAGGAUGGGGGUCUGUGCGCCCCUCAUCCAGUUCCCUACCUUUCCGCCUUCACAGGAUCCCCUCCGUUACCCCCAUCUUCCCUCAUCUUCCGGACGCACCGAUCCUGAGGGUCCUGAGGAGCCUAAGCCUCAGUGAGUGAGGAUAUCCCAUGGAUUUUGCCCUCUUCCCGUGAGUGCCAUGCCAUGAGUGAGGUAACAAAUCUCAUUUUUUGUUUUAGAGAAGAAAAGAAAAUUGAGCCCAGCUGUUUGUGGCAUUUGAGGAAAAGGUAUGCACAUGGGUAACACCUGUGGACCUGUGGCAGCUUGCCUGCUAUACCUGGAACCUCAAAGCUCCCCAGGUGUGCCCAUUAACCAGCUGAUUGAUGAAUCCCCUCAUUGAAGAUGAGAUAUUUCAGGGGGAUAUUCCACAGCUGCCCCAUCUCAUAAAAACCCAACAUAUAAGAUGAAACACACCAAAGAUGUUCAAUGUAUGUCGAUUGAUUGAAAUUUAUACCUGUGGAUGCAGGUAAAAUCUGGUUGAAAUGAACAUUAAGGCUAACCCAGAAGUGUUUGUGUGUGUUUGUGAGGGAGAGAGAAAUACAGAAAGAGAGAGAGGGAGAGAGAGAGAGAGAGAGAGAUUGAGAGAUUGAGAGAUUAGAUUUGUUGGAGUCAGGGAAGGUGAAUUUAAAGCCUCAUAGGUUUUUGGAACCCUGAAAAAGUACCUUACUGCUUCAUAAGCCAACCUGAUGCUCUGUGUCCAGUGGUGAGAAUCAGAAACAACUGAGUUCAAGUCCUGUCUCCAUAUUUAACAUUUGUGUGACCUUAUUGAGUCUUUAACAACUCUACCUUAUGUCAGUGCCAGAUUAGGCAAAUUAAACUCAAUGCUGAGAGGGUUUCCCUGGGUAUCUCCUGUCUAUCGUUGAGAGGCAACACUCUUGGAAGGACACAGACCAGCCAAGGAAUGGCACACAUUAUAGUACACCACAAUGGGAAGGUCUUGGAUUCCACAGAAAGAAGCAGACCUCACCAGCAUGGAAUAUAUAUUUCAGUUUCUCAGGAUUACUGGGGCAAAUUGUGUUGUAUAAGAAAAUUUACACAUGAGACCACCCCUGUGACUGUUACAGGAGAGACUGGUAGAUCCCCAAAUAUGCAUCGGGCCAGG